UUCCUUCUUUGAAUCAUCUUGUUAUUUGGGAGACUUCCCCAUCACUUAAAAAGCCUUCUCUUCAGUCUUUUCAUUCACCUGAUUCAAUCUUGGCCCAUGGGAUUACAAAGAACCCAUCAGCUCGUCAAAUGAGUAAGUAGCUAUGUCCUUAGACUUCUCAAUAGCUGCAACAAUGUGAUCAAAACUUAGAGUCAAACACCUUAACACUUUUGCAAUAGUGGUUUGAUCAGAAAUCUCUUCCCUGUAAGAUCUCAUUUAAUUAACAACCGUUGCAACUCAUAAAAGAAAUUCUUGUACCGAUUCUCUAAUUUUCAUUUACAACAUCUCAAAGUCACGACGGAGAAAUUGAAGUUUUACCAUAAUUAUCUUGGAUGAGCCUUUGUAUGUUGUUUGCAAAGUCGUCCAUGCUU
rnacentral:lncRNA from 1 species